GAUGAAGAACGUAGCGAAAUGCGAUAAGUAAUGUGAAUUGCAGAAUUCAGUGAAUCAUCGAAUCUUUGAACGCACAUUGCGCCCGCCAGCAUUCUGGCGGGCAUGCCUGUUCGAGCGUCAUUUCAACCCUCGACAUCCCCUUGGGGAAGUCGGCGUUGGGGACCGGCAGCACACCGCCGGCCCCGAAAUUGAGUGGCGGCCCGUCCGCGGCGACCUCUGCGUAGUAAUCCAACCUCGCACCGGAACCCCGACGUGGCCACGCCGUGAAACACCCAACUUUCUGAACGUUGACCUCGGAUCAGGUAGGAAUACCCGCUGAACUUAAGCAUAUCAAUAAGCGGAGGA
rnacentral:misc_RNA from 1 species